AGUGAACGCUGGCGGUAGGCCUAACACAUGCAAGUCGAACGGCAGCACAGUAAGAGCUUGCUCUUACGGGUGGCGAGUGGCGGACGGGUGCGGAAUACAUCGGAAUCUACUUUUUCGUGGGGGAUAACGUAGGGAAACUUACGCUAAUACCGCAUACGACCUACGGGUGAAAGCAGGGGAUCUUCGGACCUUGCGCGAUUGAAUGAGCCGAUGUCGGAUUAGCUAGUUGGCGGGGUAAAGGCCCACCAAGGCGACGAUCCGUAGCUGGUCUGAGAGGAUGAUCAGGCACACUGGAACUGAGACAAGGUCCAGAGUCCUACGGGAGGCAGCAGUGGGGAAUAUUGGACAAUGGGCGCAAGCCUGAUCCAGCCAUACCGCGUGGGUGAAGAAGGACUUCGGGUUGUAAAGCCCUUUUGUUGGGAAAGAAAAGCAGCAGGUUAAUACCCCGCUGUUCUGACGGUACCCAAAGAAUAAGCACCGGCUAACUUCGUG
rnacentral:rRNA from 1 species